UCGAUCUCAAAUCAGGUAGGACUACCCGCUGAACUUAAGCAUAUCAAUAAGCGGAGGAAAAGAAACUAACAAGGAUUCCCCUAGUAACUGCGAGUGAAGCGGGAAGAGCUCAAAUUUAAAAUCUGGCGUGCCUCUGGUCGUCCGAAUUGUAGUCUGGAGAAGCGUUUUCCGUGUUGGACCGUGUAUAAGUCUCUUGGAACAGGGCGUCAUAGAGGGUGAGAAUCCCGUCUUUGACACGGACUACCAAUGCUUUGUGAUGCGCUCUCAAAGAGUCGAGUUGUUUGGGAAUGCAGCUCAAAAUGGGUGGUAAAUUCCAUCUAAAGCUAAAUAUAGGCGAGAGAC
rnacentral:rRNA from 1 species